UUAGUUGUAUUUAUAAAUGUAAAAUCUUAUAACUCUAUAAACAUAAAGAAUAUUGAAUGCAUGUGAACAAAAAACAAUUAUAAUUUUAGAGAAUUUUUUAGUACUAAAAACUAGUGUUCGAAUUUUGUCCCAAACAUUUUUGAACAGUCCUCUGUCACAAUUUGAAUAUCGCGCCACAAAAAUAUUAAACACUAUUGUGGUUACAUUUCGCGUGAAACAGAACGUUAACAGUGUGAAGUUUUCUUGGUCGUCAUGCUAAAGAAGUCGCCGCCAUUUAGCGCAGUGACAACUCCGCGUCUGUGUGAGAGCCACGUCUCUGCAAUGUUGAGUAAACAUUCCUCUGUAUUGCCGCAAUGCCCCCAAAGAAGAAACCUAAAACUAAGAAGAAAUAAAAGAGCACAACAAAAUUGCAGAAAGAUUAAGAUAUCAACGGCUAAAAAAUUACCCUGUAAAAA